GUCACGUCUGGGCCGGGUGAUGUACUCCAUGGCAAACUGUCUGCUCCUGAUGAAGGAUUAUGUGCUGGCCGUGGAGGCGUAUCAUUCGGUUAUCAAGUAUUACCCAGAGCAAGAGCCCCAGCUGCUCAGCGGCAUCGGCCGGAUUUCCCUGCAGAUUGGAGACAUAAAAACAGCUGAAAAGUAUUUUCAAGACGUUGAGAAAGUGACACAGAAAUUAGAUGGACUACAGGGUAAAAUCAUGGUUUUGAUGAACAGGUAAAUAUUUUAAAACUAAAUAUAUGUUUUCUCAAAUUUCCCAGAGGCGUUCAAGCCCCACUUACUGAGUCGGAAAGCUCCCUAGAGAAGGCGCUUCUCCCGGUAUCUCCUCUUGCCCUGUGUCUCUCAGAGCUGAGACCCAAGGAGUACACGGGUGUUUUCUUGAAUUGCAGUGAUGUUCUUUUAGUCACAGAAGCUGAUUUUUAAGGAGCUAUUUCCCCCUUGUUCUUCAGAGAAGCGCUUGUAUUGCCCCCGUUUGCAGCGUAUGUGUGCGUAAAGGUCACCAUUGCUGGCGUAGCGGCCGUUC
rnacentral:sRNA from 1 species